CUAGUGCGGAACAUUUGGAGCCUUUUGCAACUUUUCUGGCUCCCAUUUCCUCUCCGAAAAGGCGACGCGGUCGCAACUCGCCGCUCCAGGCACAGCAAGGCAGGUCAUUUCCAACGUAGGGUCAUCUCAUCAUAGAGGUUUCCUGACAGAGGAAGUUUGCUUUUGCCUCCUCGAAGGCUGUGGGUGCAUCCACACUGUAGAAUUAAUGAUACCUCAACUUCUAUGGCUCAAUGCUGGUGAACCUUUGGAGUUGUAAAACAGCAGCUUGCUGCAGACUGGGGUCUACAAACUGAUGGACCAGCACUCGUUUAUAAUAUGUGGAAGCCCCUGAUGGCGCAGUAGGUUAAACCCUUGGACUGGCAGGACUGAGGACUUGAAGGUUGGGUUGCUGACCUGAAGGUUGCUGGCUCAAAUCCAACCUGGAGUGUUGCGGAGAGUGCGGAUGAGCUCCCUUUACCAGCUUCAACUCUAGAUCCAUACGGGGACAUGAGAGAUGCCUCCUACAUGGAUAGUAAAAUCAUCAAAACAUCUGAGUGUCCCCUGGGCAUCGUCCUUGCAGACAGCCAAUUCUCACACAUCAGAAGUGACUUGCAGUUUCUCAAGUCAGUUCUGACAUGAAAAAAUCUAAUUUCAAGGAUUUUUACCUAAUCAAAAACCUGUACCGUUUUCAGACUGCUUUAUGUUGUAUUUAUCUGUUUUGUAAGAGACCUAUGUCUCACAUUGGUGUCAGAGGACAGUGUGAUAUCAAACUGAUUAUUAACAGUUUAUUUUCAUUUUAACAAACAGAAGAAUGUUGACCAGACUUUAAUUCAAAGUCUACAAUCUUAAAUAUAUCAGGGUAUUAUCUACUCUGAACCACAAAAUAUAUACAGAAUUUGACAUUUAUUUCACAAUUGACUUGAUUCCACUUACGAUAUAUUCACAUUGAAUGUGUUCAGCUGGAUUUGCUAUCUGAAUAUAAUUAUAAGGCAUAUAAAAAUAUGGAGUUGAAAUAUGUGUGCAUAUUAAGUAAGUGUUUAAAAAACAUCACAAUAUUUUCUCAAAUUUAUUUAUUUAUUUAAUACAUUUAUAUCCCGCCCUUCUCACCCCGAAGGGGACUCAGAGCAGCUUACAAAUUAUAUUUACAUACAAUAUUAUAUUAUAUUAUAUUAUUAGCACAGCACAGU